GCUGUCUGUCUUUGAUGAUUUUAACCCAUGCAAAUAAUUUGGAAAACCAUUUUGGAUGAAAAAAAGAGUGCAUCAUAGAGCUAUAAAUAUUAUGUAUAUAUUUUGCAGUACACUUAUUUGGACAAAUUCCAGUUCAUUUGAAAAUUAAUUCACAAGUCUAGAUAUGAUGCUCAGAGAAACCUUUUAAGUGUAGCAUUUAUUGACAUAAAACCGUGACAUCAUGUAAACAGUAAAUAGCUAAAGACAUUCAGG